GAUGAAGAACGCAGCGAAAUGCGAUAAGUAAUGUGAAUUGCAGAAUUCAGUGAAUCAUCGAAUCUUUGAACGCACAUUGCGCCCGCCAGUAUUCUGGCGGGCAUGCCUGUUCGAGCGUCAUUUCAACCAUCAAGCCCCAGGCUUGUGUUGGGGACCUGCGGCCGCCGCAGGCCCUGAAAACCAGUGGCGGGCUCGCUGUCACACCGGGCGUAGUAGAUUUUAUCUCGCUCAGGGCGUGCUGCGGGUUCCGGCCGUUAAAAAGCCUUUUUUACCCAAGGUUGACCUCGGAUCAGGUAGGAAGACCCGCUGAACUUAAGCAUAUCAAUAAGCGGAGGA
rnacentral:misc_RNA from 1 species